CCUACGUCAUGACCAUACAUUUCCUGACAUUAUAUUGCAUCUGUCACUUCUUCGCCCAUUCUCUUAAUCUGUCUAAGUACUUCUGUGGCCUCUCUAUUUCCUCAAAACUCUCUGUCCUUCCACCUAUUUUCGUAUUGGCUGCAAACUUUGCUCAAAACAAUCAAUUCAGCCAAAUUAUUCACAUAACACAAAUCCCUGUGGUUCAUCACUAGUCGACGGCAACCAAGCAGCAAAGUUUCCCUUUAUUCCCACUGUUUACCUCUUGCCAACCAGCCACUGCUUUAUCGAUGUAUAUUUCCUGUAAUACCGCGGGUAAGUAGCCGCUUCUGUGGCUCCUCGUCAAAGGCCUUCUGAUAAUGCAGAUACACAGCAUCAACCGAUUCGCCUUUGCGAUCCUGAUUGUUAUUUCUUCACAGAAUCCCAACAGAUUUGCCAGAUCUAAGAUUGUCCCUUGAGACGGAACAAGCAGCUCACUUGUGCAGCGGACCAACAGUCCUCGGGUUGCAAGCCUGCGGAACCAAGAUUAUUGUGCUGACCACAACCCCUCAGUCGGGCGAUAAUACAGCUGUACAGAUGAGAUAAGUGCAGACGGUUGGGAAAGAACAUUCUGAACUCACACCUCUGUUCUGCUAAAGACACACACACUUGUCUGCUGCUGGAUCCAAACACAAGCUGAUUUCCCUCUCACCCAGAGUUCCACAAAUGUGGAAUUUCAAUGACCUAGUGUUAAAAUAAAUGAUUUUCCACAAUGA